rnacentral:rRNA from 1 species
GUCUCAGGCCGUAUCAGCCUGAAGGCGCCCGAUCUCGUCUGAUCUCGGAAGCUAAGCAUGGUCGGGCCUGGUUAGGAUCUUGGAUGGGAGACCACCUGGGAAUCCCGGGUGCUCGAGGCU